CACAACUCUUUUAUUGAAAAACAACCACAAGAGGAGAGAGUCAAACAAAAAAAAUCAUCAGUGUGGAUGGGGGAAGGGAAGGUCUCAAGAGGAGGAGGAGGGGUCCUGGGAUGGCUACAGAUUUGUGUAUGUUCAGGGAUCAUACCCAACCUUCUCCUUUGGAGUAUGAUGCAGCGGGUGCUGUACUUCAGCAGAACCAAACUGCAAAUGGAUGGGUGUUGAGUGCAGUGGGUAGUGGGAUUCCACACUGCUGGAUUGUGAGGAGGGAGGAGUGGAAUGCUAUGGGUAGAGAGUGGAGCCAGGAGGUUGAUAACCGUGUGUUGUUGGUGUGUGGGAGAUGCAUGGGAAAGAGUUUUGUGACAGCGGCUGCAGGGGAGGGCAGGCGCGGAGCUGCUUGGUUUGAAGAGCUAGUAUUGCCUCUAGUGAGACUACUUGGCACUCCAUAGCUUCUUUCUGGUGUGCCGCGUUGUCCUUUCAGUCCCUCUUCUCGCUGUCCCGCCACUGUUCAAUUCUUUUUUCUCUGUGGUGGAGUGCAUAAUAACCUCACGCAUAAAGUCCUCCUUAGUUCUUCUUGGACGCUUUCUAAUUCUGCGCAGCCAUUCUGCCGCCGAUAACAAAGAGGGAGGCUGUGCUCCGAAGGUCAUCUCCGUGAAGUUUAAAUGCAACAUUUUACAGAAGCAGUAUUGUUUGCAACACAGACAACACUGAUUCAGUGCUUUAAAACACAGCCAGUACUCACACACCUGUCACUAACUGGCUGACCCCAGGCAAGCACACAUGAGCCACAAGACCCCCAAAAUGGUGAGUAGCUGCAGGGGCAGGGUAAAUCACUGUUCCCGGACCCUGCUGUACACUGGGCACGUGGCUCUUGGUGAGAGCCAGCACUGUAGGGUGGACCUGAUAAUCAUUCCUGUCCCCACACUUUCCACAGGAGGUGAUCAUUAUAGAAGAUAUCUUGCUGCUGAGGGUCAAGGGAGCAGGGAAUCAAGGGAGGGUCUUCUCCAAGCCUGCAGCUUCCGCCCUGGCACCUAUGCAGCUAGCCUGUGGGCAGCAAUUUUCCCCCCACCCGUCAUGGCAAAGAGGCACGGGAAAGUUAUCGUUCAUGGGGCAAGAAAAAAAAGCAGCUCUGCAGAAGAAACUGUAGCAGCAGAUUGCCCAGUAUCUCCACGAGAGUUUCCUGGAGAUCUGAGGGAGAUUCCCAUGAAGUGAGGGAGUGUAUCAACAGCCUGUUCUGCCCUUCAGACUAGGCAUGAGGUGGGAGUCAAGCCUGCUUUCUGCAACUCUCCUACCCCCAAAAACUCGCUUCAGCAAUUCCCAAAAUCAGAUCCACUUACCAGGGGCCUCCUCUCCUGUUUGCGCCUUGCCAAGAUCCGACUGCUGUGAUUGGCUAAGCUCCUCCAGGGUAGAAAAGAGCUCCUGACUGCAUGCAUCUCUGGCCUACAAGUCAUCCUCUGCCUCUGGGACCCCCUCCCCCUCUUCGUCCAAGAUUACCGCCUCCUCCUGGCUCGGUCCACUCUCAAUUGGCACACAAGCCAACGAAGUAUCCACAGGCUCCUUUGCAGUGGAGGUGAGGUCAUCACAGAGUAUUGUGUCCAGCUCUUUGUAGAACUGGUAGCUUGUGGGCGCAGCACCGGAGUGGCGGUUUGCCUCCCUUGCCUUGUGGUAGGCGUUUCACAGCUCCUUCACUUUGACCCUGCACUGCAGUGUGUCCCAGUCAUGGCCCCUUUCUGUCAUGCAUCUAGAAAUCUGUCCAUGGGUAUCAUAAUUCUGAUGGCUGGAGCGCAGCUGCAACUGCACUACCUCCUCUCCCUAAAUGCUGAUGAGGUCCAGCAGCUCAGCAUUGCUCCAAGCAGAGGAUCGCCUGGUGCAUGGAGCAGGCAUGCCCACCUGGAAAGAUGCGCUGAGACCACGGCACGCAUCACUGAGCAAACAGGAAAGGGACUUUCAAAUCUGCAAAGGAAUGUACGGGAUAGGGCUGACGGUUGAUCACCUGAGGGCAUGGCAGCUGAGUUCAAACCAAUGGCCAGAGAGGUGAGAACAGGUAGAGUGGGACACCUCCCCAAGUUCUGGUCGCAGCUCUGUAAUCACCACGGUGUCUACACUGGCAAUGCAGCGCUGUAGCCCGGGCGCAGAAAGCUCUACGUCCCUUGGGGUGGUUUUUUUAGAGCACUGCAUCUGCGUGGUUUCUGCGCACUACGUGGCUUGGCAGUGUGUACACCUCGGGAGUUACAGCACUCAAAGCUGCUUUACUGCGCACAAACUUGCCAGUGGAGAUGGGGCCUUAGAAAAGUUUUCAAGCCCUGCUCUGUGAAGCACUUUCUGAAUAGAGCUCAGAGAAGGUCUGGCAGCUUCUAGUGCUGCUUGUUCCACCUCCUCACUUUAAGAGCUGUCCAACCUCAGUAUUAUCAAGAGGAGCUCAGUUGGAUGCCCGCAAAAGCGGCUGUAACAGGGGCGAGGCUAAGCCAGCUGCCUCCUCCAGUGCUACAGCGGCUUAGAAGCAGGAGGCCCCAGCAGGCUCAUGGCUUUCCCCUGUGAGCACGGGCAGUGAGGAGGGCGGUGCGGGGGAAGCGAAGGGAGGGCACGGGGAAGGGCGGUGGGCCACCAGCGACCCGUUCAGAGGGGGGCUGUAGGGAGGCGGCUUGGGGACUUCUGCCCUGCGAAGCGUAGCACUGUCGGAGCGGGCCGCGGGGGCUAGAGGCCUUGGGCAAGGACCGAGUGACCAGGGCGCAUGAUGACACCUGACAGUGGCCCUCAGCUGGCCCAGGCGGCGGCAGGCCGGAGGGGCAGCGGGCGGGGCGGGGCGGGGCGAGGCGGCAGCCCCAGGUGGGGCGGGCUCUCCUCUAACCUCGCUCUCCCGCUUCCGUUCUCCAAGGAACCUCGGCCAGGAAAGCCUCGCUCAGGGACCGCCGGGCCGGCUGAGAGCGGGGCAAAGCCCCAGGCGCUCCCUGCUCAGAGCCGAGGCGGGCAGAGUGGCUCAGCCAGGCUGGGCUGGGGGUCGGGGCUCUGCAGGAUCGGUUACCCGCGACCAGGCUAGGGGGCGGGCUGUGCGUGCGCUGCGCGCCCCAGCCGCCCGUGCCCACGUGACCCUGGCCCACCUGUUCAAGAUGGCGGCGCCCAGGGCUGCCUGCACGCUGCUGAGCGGAGGGUGUGUGACUCACUGCCGUGGAGUUUUCUCUUCACCGGUCAAUCAUAUCUGCUUACACAAGCAGUCAUGCAGUCAACAAAGAAGAUAUUUCUUUUUCCAGAGACAAAGAAAUACUGCUUAUAGCAUAGUUCGGCCGGCUAUAGUUUCUCUAGCUCACCCAGUUCCUAAGCACAUAAAGAAGCCAGACUAUGUGACGACAGGCAUUGUACCAGACUGGGGAGACUACAUAGAAAUUAAGAAUGAAGAUCAGAUUCAAGGGCUUCAUCAGGCUUGUCAACUGGCCUGUCAUAUUCUACUUCUAGCUGGAAAGAGUUUAAAGGUUGGCAUGACAACCGAAGAAAUAGAUUCCAUUGUUCAUCACGAAAUAAUCAGACAAAAUGCCUAUCCUUCACCUCUAGGCUAUGGAGGUUUUCCCAAAUCUGUUUGUACCUCUGUGAACAAUGUGGUAUGUCAUGGUAUUCCUGACAGUCGACCUCUUCAGGAUGGAGACAUUAUCAACAUUGAUGUCACAGUAUAUUACAAUGGCUACCAUGGUGACACUUCUGAAACAUUUUUGGUGGGCAAUGUGGAUAAAUCUGGUCAAAAGUUAGUGGAGGUUGCCAGGAAAUGUAGAGAUGAAGCAAUUGCAGCUUGCAGACCAGGGGCUCCCUUCUCUGUAAUUGGAAACACAAUCAGGCAAUCUGGCUCUGCUCCCCAGCCCUCAUUCCGCCAUGUUAUCCCAGUAGCCAGACUCAGGACCUUUUUGCCCUCGUGUGACCCAAGGGACGGGAGAACUUACACAGCUCAUCUCCUUGGCAACCAGGGCCUCAGCACCAGGGAUGUACUUCUGGCAGCCUGGCUCACCAGUUAUAUUUUCAGCUACCUCCACUGCCUGACUUCAAGCUGGACUUCACCUCUGGCUCCUUGAUCUGUUGCCCAGUGCUAUGGAACGGUGGCAGACGCAUGCACCGUUGUCUAAUUAACAACUUCUUCUGGAGAAAGCUGGAGAGAGAGUUAGGCUAGUGCAGGCAAAUCCUGGUAGGGCAGGGAGCCAGACGACAAAACUUUGAGUCCCAGGCUGCAGCAAAUGGUGAAUUCCAUGACAAAAAUGCUGAAUUCCAUGGUAUCUUGAUGAAGAAUCCCAAAUUCCACAGCCCCAGCAUCACAGAGCCCUGACUGAGGUGGGCACCUCUCUGAGCAAUGUUUCAAGCUCUCUACUGACUCAGGAAGACAUCACUGGAUCAGUUUACAGUCAGUUCAUAUUUACAAGGUUACCUCUGCACUAUCAGGACUAAAAGCAAUUUUUUUAAAAAUGAAUGAAGGGAUUUUGGAGCACAGUUUGUUAGCAAAACCUUAACUCCAUGAAUGUGGAACUGAGGAAUACACAGGGCCCUGAAGAUCUCCCCUCACAGGUGUUAACGCUUGUAGUCUUUUAAAAUUCUCGGAUGUGAGGUGCUACCAUAUGUAAGUGUAAAUAUUAGAAAGAGGUUGAAAGUGGCUGAGUUUCAUACCUACAGCUUUUUUCUCCACAGAUGUUCUGUACAACAAUGCAGGUUCAUACGAUACAUUACAUUUUAUGUAAAGAACAUCCAUACUCUGCACUGUUUAUGGGUGAAGAGGGAAGGUCAGUUGAGUACUUCAGUGCAGAUGUCAAAUACAUAUGAGCACAAAGAUUCCUAUUUUGAUCAGACUGUAAUAGCAUAAGUAGUGAUGCUAAUAGAGUUGUUUUCAUGCUCUUGAGCAAGGAAGAGGCAGAAUUAAUCAAUGCAGUGCACAAGAACUACUUUUAUUGUAUGAGGAAGAAAAACUGUCUCAACCUUGUCUUUUCAUGAUGAUGACCAUGUUGCUCCUACUUUUGAUGCCUCAAAGCAUCAAAGUCUUAGUGUUGAACAUUAUUCUCUCAGUGGCUAGUUGAAUGGUGCACACUGGAGCUUUCCAUGCCAAGAUGAGGAUAAUUAGUUUUGGUACUUAGAGGACGUAGCUCCUAGAUAGAAGAAGACUAUGUAUUGGUAUGGUAGAAGAGUUUUGAAAAGACAUCCUAUAGCAAAGUUGUAAGUCUAAAAAAAUGACCCUGGGGUCUAUCAACCUCUUUGAAUGGUAUCAGAGGGGGACAGGCAAAACUGAAUAGUGAAUGGGUUUGCUCUUGCACUGGCCAACAUACUUUAAGAAAAAUAGAGGUGGAACAAAAGCUUGCCAAAUGUUGCAUAAAUGGUCUUCCACUCCUCUCCUCCCCUAGGGUAAUUGUUUAAGAAUAUUUCAUCGUUACAUGAAGUAUUGCUUGUGUUGCACUAAUUCUGGUUUUCUACAAGUCACAUCGUUUCACAUUUUGUUCUUUAUAUGUUAGUGAAUAAACUGUAAUUUUCUAAUUCCUCUCCACAUCCAUUGCUUCCUCCUUGACCUUUACUAUCAUCAUAUCCAAGCUGCAUCCUAUAUGGCUUUUCCAUCUCUAACUUACAUUAUUUUUUUAAUGUUAUUUAAAUUGUGUACUUCAUGGGAUAAAAAUCCCAGCAGAACGGAGCCCAAGAUCUUGUACCAUUACUAGCCGUUUAUGCCAAUAAUUAGGAGAGUCUUAAAGAAGUUGGGGAUAUCUUAAAUUGAGGACCUUGUUUCCCUUCAAAGUCAAAUGAAGUACUAUCAGACAUGCUUGUUAGCUUGGAAGGCAGGUACUAGAUAACAUAUGGAACCUUUUCAAGCAUCCAUUUUAGAUCUGAGCUUUGUAACAUUAUUAACUACCACUGACCUGAUUCUCCACCCUGUUAACACUUGUUUUACAGCAGCAUUACACCAUUGACUUCAGUUGUAGCAACGGUAAAUUCUUGGCCUGUGAUGCACAAAGGUGUGAAUAUCCCGGCUUCUGUAGGAAAUCAUUUAGCAGUGUGUUUAAGUACUUACCUUUCAUAUUGACAGAAACAACCAGGUCCACUGGAUUUGAAACCAACAAAUUCUGCUUUUCUGUGUUUUAGGUGACAUUUUUUAAGUGUAAAACUAAUCCUUUGUUCUUUACAGUACUCCUGUGUGGUUUUAGAAAUUGGAUGGAAGUGAUAUGGAUGAGCACAGCUGCCAUCAUGGCCGAUCUCAAAUUAAUAAGAUAAAGACUUAUUUGUAGGUCUAAGAUAAUGCUGAUACACAUCGUAGUAAUUUGACUUUCCCAGUAACUCAGGCUGGUGAUUGUAAAGGCUCCGCUUGUGGUUCUGAAUCUAAUCUUUAAAGCUUUGAAAGCACAGCUAGCUAACAAGACCCUCUCUCUCUCUCUCUCUGCAAAUAGCUGUGAACGGAUGGAAAUCUAUAGCCCUACGCUGAAACUUUUGGGGACUGGGGUAGGACAUUCUUGAGGAAGGGCCCUUAGCUAUAGAACCGUAUACCUCCCGAGAACAGGUUCAUCCCAAAUUUCUCAUAUUUUGGAUGCAAUGUAAAACUUCACACAGGCCUUCCCUAAACAGAUCAUGGUGAUUGCAGAAUAGCCUAGCAGUUUCUGUUCUGAAAGACAACCACCGGGAACAAGCCUAUAUUAGAAAGGCAUAGAGAGGAGCUGAGUGAUCUGGCCCUGUUUCAGCUCUUACUGAUGUUCUGGUGCCCAGAUAUUGUGAUUAUGGACAUGUUAGAAACAGGUGGACUGUUUAAUUAGCAUUACAUGGAUUUGCUAGACUUGUAACUUUUUUAAAGGGCCCCAGACUGGUAGACCCCAAAUAUGACCUGCUCUUUUUCUUUUAUCUCUGCAAAAAUCUGUGUUUGCAAAAAUAUUUGUAAAUCUGUGUGUGUAGAGUCCAAACAAAUGCCUCAGUGUCCAUUUCCCAGAUCUGCUGCAGGGUUCAGACUGCUAGGUGCUGGUAUACAGGAGUCUCCUUUAUUGGGUAGCCCUGCCUCAAUUUCUGUAUUAAGUUUUAUUUACAACAAAUAAGAUUCUAGCACACUUGUUUGCCAAGACAACCCUCUGGAAUAUAAACUGAUCUAGCGCUCAGAGUCCACAGAGAAGGUCGGAACCAAUAGCUCUGAGCUUCCAGAUUCCAGUGUAUUGGUAUAAAAAAGCUGAAGCCGAACCAUGACAAUUACACUGGCGACCUGGUUCCCUGUUCCACUGCUGAUAAUUCCGGAGACGCCCGGCUACUUUUCGAUUGUGGGUGGAGUUAUGAAUUGUGGGCGGGGCUUGAGUGCACCUGGUCUCUGCCCCCCAUAUAAAGAAUGCCGGGAGGCGCCUCCGCUAACGGUGUGAAUGUGUCAUUGUGUUACACUCCGAAGCGAUUAUCACCAGCCACACUGCGUUACAAAUGUUUAUUGCCUGGAAUUAUCCCAGUGUCACUGGUACGGUUUGGGGCUAAUACGUUUCCGCAUAGCACAUCAGAAUGAUUUCCGAGUCUGCCCCUACUUUGUUGGGCAUGGAAUAGGAUCUUACUUCCAUGGACACCCUGAAGUUUGGCAUCAUGACAAUGACGGUGAUUUGUUAAUGGAAGAGGGAAUGGCGUUUACAA